rnacentral:rRNA from 1 species
GGGGAAUAUUGGACAAUGGACCGAGAGUCUGAUCCAGCAAUUCUGUGUGCACGAUGAAGUUUUUCGGAAUGUAAAGUGCUUUCAGUUGGGAAGAAAGAAAUGACGGUACCAACAGAAGAAGUGACGGCUAAAUACGUGCCAGCAGCCGCGGUAAUACGUAUGUCACGGGCGUUAUCCGGAUUUAUUGGGCGUAAAGCGCGUCUAGGUGGUUAUAUAAGUCUGAUGUGAAAAUGCAGGGCUCAACUCUGUAUUGCGUUGGAAACUGUAUAACUAGAGUACUGGAGAGGUAAGCGGAACUACAAGUGUAGAGGUGAAAUUCGUAGAUAUUUGUAGGAAUGCCGAUGGGGAAGCCAGCUUACUGGACAGAUACUGACGCUGAAGCGCGAAAGCGUGGGUAGCAAACAGGAUUAGAUACCCUGGUAGUCCACGCUGUAAACGAUGAUUACUAGGUGUUGGGGGUCGAACCUCAGCGCCCAAGCAAACGCGAUAAGUAAUCCGCCUGGGGAGUACGUACGCAAGUAUG